rnacentral:rRNA from 1 species
UACGUAGGCAGCGAGCGUUGUUCGGAGUUACUGGGCGUAAAGAGUGCGUAGGCGGUUUUCUAAGUUUGGUGUGAAAUCUCCCGGCUUAACUGGGAGGGUGCGCCGAAAACUGGAAGGCUUGAGUAUGGGAGAGGUAAGCGGAAUUCCUGGUGUAGCGGUGAAAUGCGUAGAUAUCGUCCAGAACACCGAUAGCGAAGGCAGCUUACUAAGGAGUAACUGACGCUGAGGCACGAAAGUGUGGGGAUCAAACAGG